UUAAAUUUUUAUCAUAUUGUCUAUCCCGAGGACUAAAUUAGGCCUAUAGAAAUUAAUACUGAUAAGUUAAUAAAUCGUAUAGAAUAGGAAUCUGAAAGAAAAUGUCAAUUCAGAUAUAGAUUACAUUCUAGAAAUGUUACUGUUAGGGAUUAAAAAGUGAAAAAUGGUAAUUUAAAUUAAAUCAAGGGUUAGAAAAGGAGGAUCUAAGACAAAUAAUCAUAAUAGACAAGAAAUCCUCAAUUAUUCAAGGCGAAACUUAAGAAUAUAAAAGAAAAUGUUAAAUGAAUUAUGUGCUUGAAUGUGAAGAACAUAAUGUUAACUGAAUAGGUCAAAUUAAUUAUAGCAAUAUAAAAUAAUGUAAACAUGAUAAAGAAGCAGGUAAAACUUCCUCUGAACAAUUAGUAUGAAGGGUAAAAUUUUGGGUGUUUUAAUAUAGAAUUAAAGUGGUUAGUGAAUAAUUGGGCAAAAGUUGUGAAGUGAAAAUUUGAUUAAUAAGGAAAAGAUUGACUAAUAGUUAAUAGAAGUAAUUACAAGCCAUGAAAUAAUUAUGAAUCUAUUAUAAUAAAAUGAAUGUAGAAGAUGGUGAAUAACUUUAAAUCACAAAUGGGGAAUGAAUGGGGAAAGGAACGUGGAUGCUAUAAGAAAGCUUAAUAAAUUAAGGAAAUUGGAUGUAUCUAGGUAGAGAGUUAUGUAGAAAGGACUAAUACUACUUAUUAAAUUUAAAGAACACUUAUAUAAAAUCUGCUUAAAAGAAUUAAGUGCGAAAUUAGAUCGAGGUGCUAAAUAAAAUAAAAGUUAAUAAAUUUGGAAGAGAAUAAAGGUCAAAGAUAACUCAUAAU
rnacentral:lncRNA from 1 species